rnacentral:lncRNA from 1 species
GCGAAAUCGGUCUUGGGAUCCCGGAGAAGACGGUGGGCGUGGCUUGAGGAAGGGCGUUUGUGAUUGGUGGGUUCUGCCGCGGCCGGGAAGUUCGAACAGAAGUCUGGGGAAGAGCCGGCGAAGAGCAAAGAGAUAAUACAGUACUCCCAGCUAUAGCAAGCGGCAGUUAUGGAGCAUGCGCAGCAGCAGGGGCGGCCGCAGUCAAGGGAUUUGUACAGCCCUGUAGGAGACACCUCCAGAGAAAGUAACAGCUCUCAAUUGAUUAGCUGAGAAUAAACAGAUGCUUUUACAGCUCGCCUUGGCGGGAAGAUCUGGCACAAAUGAAGUAUCUAUAAGGAGCAGCAGAGUCAAGGUGGUGAUCCUGUGGAUGAAUAACUGAAACCUGAUAUACUUGACAGCAGAAAAUAUAAAGCAAAUUGAAAAGGAGAGAGUGUGGAGAUAAAUAAGAAAAUGAAAGAACUGAUAAAGUCACUUGGAUUAAAAAACCUGGGAGUAAGGGCUUUGUUUAUGAUUGAACUUAAGAGAGAAUUGAGGGACCACCUACCUUUGAUGUUAACGAGAAAGUAAAGAGGAAACAUAUUUAGAGAUACCCUUUGGUGAAAAACAGAAAUGGAUGUGUCAUUUGAUGCAUCACAUUAUUUAUUCAACAAACUCUUAGUGAGAACUUACUGUGUAUGAAAGACUGGACUGAAACAUAUAUAAGAAAUAAUUUUUGGCCCAAGGAAUUUAUAGUAUAAUUGAGGAAACAAAUACAAAUCACUUCUGCAAAGUAGCAGAGACACAGAUGAGGAAUUGUAAUGUUUGUAAAAUCAAAGUGGUGGGAGUAGUCAAAAAAGUGUUUACAGAAUGGUAUUCAAAAUGGGCCUGAAGGCAGAAAUCAGACUGGUUGUUACCUGGAAAACAAGGAGAGAAAGGACAAGGCAGGAGAAGAGAACAAGUACAAAGGCAUGUGGGGGUAGGAAGGCAUGGCAUGGGUAGAAAAUGCCAGUUAAAUUGACAUUGUGGGAAAAUAACGAGUUUAGCGUAUGGGGGCAUAGCAAAUAAUGACUCUGGUUUCGGCAAAACCCCAGGGGAAAGAAAAUGAGAUCCUGAACUAUGGCAGUAACAGAGGGGAGUGGGAAAAGAGGAUUAACUAGAGAAAUAUUUAGAAACUAAGAAUCUCAGGAUUUAGUACUUCUUGGGGAAGCCAUCGUGAAUGCUGGCUCUCAAGCUGCAUUAUCAACAAACAAAAAUAUUGAUACCUUAAAGUUAAAGUCCCACCCUCCUUUUAGAGACUGUAAGACAUAGUUCUAUCUUGUCUCACAUCUCUACCUCUGUUAAUCUCCAUUUGGGCCAA